GGCCUGAUGGUGUAGUGGUAACAUAUCCUCUUGGAUUCUGCCAGUACUUGAACAAUGUUUAUGAGGAAAUCCCCUGUUCAAUUCAGGGUUAGGUCU